rnacentral:rRNA from 1 species
GAGAUGACUCUCGGCAACGGAUAUCUAGGCUCUUGCCACGAUGAAGAACGUAGCGAAAUGCGAUACUUGGUGUGAAUUGCAGAAUCCCGUGAACCAUCAAGUUUUUGAACGCAAGUUGCACCCGAGGCCACCAGGCCAAGGGCACGCCUGCCUGGGCGUCACGC